rnacentral:rRNA from 1 species
UAUGUGAUCGUCUCUCGCAUAUCAAUAAGCGGAGGAAAAGAAACUAACAAGGAUUCCCCUAGUAACGGCGAGUGAAGCGGGAAGAGCUCAAAUUUGAAAUCUUAAAGGGUUUCCCUUUACGAAUUGUAGUUUAAAGAAGUGUUUUCUGUUGAGGUUUUGGUAAAAGUUCUUUGGAAUAGGACAUCAUAGAGGGUGAGAAUCCCGUAUUUGACCUUUACUUUCAACUUUGUGAUACACUUUCAAAGAGUCGGAUUGUUUGGGAAUGCAGUCCAAAAUGGGUGGUAAAUUUCAUCUAAAGCUAAAUAUUGGCGAGAGACCGAUAGCGAACAAGUACCGUGAGGGAAAGAUGAAAAGAACUUUGAAAAGAGAGUUAAACAGUACGUGAAAUUGUCAAAGGGAAGCGUUUGACACCAGUGUUGUUUUUCUGAAAAUCAAUUAAAGAACUGUUUAUGCUAAGUUGUUUAGACUUUAUCAGCUAAUCUGUUUAGUUUUGAGCUUUUCUUUAAUGCACUUUUCAGUUAACAAGUCAACAUCAAUUUCUUUUGCUGUAAAAAAGCUUGAGGAAGGUGGCUUGAGAUUCGUCUUAAGUGUUUAUAGCCUCUUGCCUAUGCGGUCGGAGAGAUUGAGGUCUGCAGUGUAGAUCCUUCGGGGCUAAAUGCAUUUGUGCUAAGUUAUAGCAUUUUAUAGACAACUUGUUGACUAUGAUUUGUCUUGUAGCUUACUCGCUUAUGUUAUUUUACCUACGCUUAGGAUGUUGAUCUACAGAGCGAGAGU